rnacentral:rRNA from 1 species
GUGUCAGCAGCCGCGGUAAUACGGAGGAUCCAAGCGUUAUCCGGAAUCAUUGGGUUUAAAGGGUCCGUAGGCGGUUUUAUAAGUCAGUGGUGAAAUCCGGUAGCUCAACUAUCGAACGGCCAUUGAUACUGUAGAACUUGAAUUAUUGUGAAGUAACUAGAAUAUGUAGUGUAGCGGUGAAAUGCUUAGAUAUUACAUGGAAUACCAAUUGCGAAGGCAGGUUACUAACAAUAUAUUGACGCUGAUGGACGAAAGCGUGGGGAGCGAACAGGAUUAGAAACCCCGGUAGUCC